UACGGGGGGGGGCAAGCGUUGUUCGGAAUUCCUGGGCGUAAAGGGCUCGUAGGUGGCCAACUAAGUCAUACGUGAAAUCCCUCGGCUUAACCGGGGAACUGCGUCUGAUACUGGAUGGCUUGAAGUUGGGAGAGGGAUGCGGAAUUCCAGGUGUAGCGGUGAAAUGCGUAGAUAUCUGGAGGAACACCGGUGGCGAAGGCGGCAUCCUGGACCAAUUCUGACACUGAGGAGCGAAAGCCAGGGGAGCAAACGGG
rnacentral:rRNA from 1 species